CAGGUCUUGACAUCCUCCUGAACAGUCUAGAGAUAGGCUGGGCCUUCGGGACAGGAGAGACAGGUGGUGCAUGGUUGUCGUCAGCUCGUGUCGUGAGAUGUUGGGUUAAGUCCCGCAACGAGCGCAACCCUUGAUCUUUGUUGCCAGCACGUAAAGGUGGGCACUCGGAGAUGACUGCCGGUGACAAACCGGAGGAAGGUGGGGAUGACGUCAAAUCAUCAUGCCCCUUAUGACCUGGGCUACACACGUACUACAAUGGCCGGUACAGAGGGCAGCGAGGCCGCGAGGCGGAGCGAAUCUCAGAAAGCCGGUCUCAGUUCGGAUUGCAGGCUGCAACUCGCUUGCAUGAAGCCGGAAUUGCUAGUAAUCGCGGAUCAGCAUGCCGCGGGAAUACGUUCCC
rnacentral:rRNA from 1 species